rnacentral:rRNA from 1 species
UGGGGAAUAUUGCACAAUGGGCGCAAGCCUGAUGCAGCCAUGCCGCGUGUAUGAAGAAGGCCUUCGGGUUGUAAAGUACUUUCAGCGAGGAGGAAGGCGUUGUGGUUAAUAACCGCAGCGAUUGACGUUACUCGCAGAAGAAGCACCGGCUAACUCCGUGCCAGCAGCCGCGGUAAUACGGCGGGUGCAAGCGUUAAUCGGAAUUACUGGGUGUAAAGCGCACGCAGGCGGUCUGUCAAGUCGGAUGUGAAAUCCCCGGGCUCAACCUGGGAACUGCAUCCGAAACUGGCAGGCUAGAGUCUUGUAGAGGGGGGUAGAAUUCCAGGUGUAGCGGUGAAAUGCGUAGAGAUCUGGAGGAAUACCGGUGGCGAAGGCGGCCCCCUGGACAAAGACUGACGCUCAGGUGCGAAAGCGUGGGGAGCAAACA